AUAACGGGUGAGAAGGUGGGUGAAGCAGAAGAGAGAUGGUGAGAUUGGUAUGAUAGGCUGCUGAGAGAACAGGUAAGAGAUGAUGUUCUGAUCUAGAGAGAUUCGAUUUUGACUCUGAUUAGCUAAAAUCAGAUCAUCUAUAUGAAAUACUGAACAGAGAAACAUUGGACUAGAGGCAUUACUUUCACAGAUACUUAUUUAGUACCUAGUGUCUGCUAGGAGAUGCAGCAGUUGCCAGGGAGAGAAAGAUAAACCCUCGUCCUAAGAAAGCUCCAAGCCUGAGGAGUGAGACCAGUCAAGUCAACAGCACUGGCAUCAGUGAGUUUUAUAGAGGACGGAGCCUGAGGUCACUUGGAGCAGCUUGUUCAAUCAACAGGCCUGAUAUGCGUCAUGCUGCUGGUCCUGCCACAGGUCCGGAUGUAAAACUGGGUUCAUUUCUUAAGGACACAACCAGGCUUCCCCUGUGUAUCUAUGCUGUGCAUUGCAUGGAUGUUGGAAGACAUGGUAAUUGGCUGAUAAACGUUUAUGUGGAGGUUAGCCAAAGAAGAAUAGUGUGUCUUUAGAAAAGAGCUUACACUGCAAUACCUCUUAAAAGAAAAGCACGCUUCCUAUGCUAUAUUUCAUCUAUGUAGCACUGGCGCCCCCUUCCAGCUCAGGAUUAAGAAUGGCAGCCCAAGAGAGCAAAUCAAGCAUUUUGGCUCUGUGAAUUCCACCAGAGGAAGAGGUGUUAAGUCAACAGUUUCAUCAAAGUGUGCUAAUAAACAUCAUGAUAGCAGGA